rnacentral:rRNA from 1 species
UACGUAGGGGGCGAGCGUUGUCCGAAGUUACUAGGGCGUAAAGCGCGCGAGGCGGGAGAUUAAGUGAAGAGGUGAAAGGCUGGGGCUCAACCCCAUGCAAGUGCCUCUCAUAACUGGGUCUUCUUGAGGGCGGUAGGGAGAAGUGGAAAUGGCUGGUGUAGCGGUGAAAUGCGUAGAUAUCAGUCGGAACACCGGUGGCGAAGGCGGCUUCUUGGGCCGUUCCUGACGCUGAGGCGGCGAAAGCUGGGGGGAGCCGAACGGGGAUUAAGA